rnacentral:lncRNA from 1 species
GAGAGCGGCGCGGCGGAAGCCAGAGACGGCGGGAGGGCCGGUGGCUGCCCCCGGGCGGGAGCCGGGGCGGCGGCGGCGGCGGCCGAGAGGGACCGCGACGAGGGAAUCGCAUCCAGCGGCCCCGGCGGCGGUGGGGGCCGGGGUCCGCGCGCCUGGGUGGCCAGCCGCGGGCCAGCGCGAUGGAGCCGCAGCACGUGCGCCCCGCGAGUGGCGCCCGCAGCCCGACCUGGGAGGAACCGGUGGGUACCGCGCCCGCGCCCACCCCCUCCCGCUUCUACUCUGUCCCCCCCGCCCGGGCCGGGUUCCGUUCAGGAAAUGGCCAGGGAUGAGGUCCCCAGCUGCUUCCCAGCCGGGGCAGCGCUUCCUCCGCCGCCCGCGCGCCGCCCGGAUCGCCUUUGUCCGGUCGGCUGAGGCUUUCCCGGAGGGGCCAUUGGCGACCCACUGGUGACGGUCCUUAGAGGACCGCUUCCGUGCUUCAUCGACUUUCCAACUUUUCACUUGAUUUUCGAGCGUGGAGUGUAGGCAGAGGGACAGGAGAAAGCAAGGCUGUGCGGUCAGCGUGUGGGGCUGGGACGAGGUGGGUCUUCCCUCCUGAGACUGCUCCCUCGCAAUCACCUGGGCGCACAGGUUUUUAAGGACCGCCGCCUGGGGAGGCCGAUCGCAGCUAGAAGCCCAGAACCACGCCUCCGACUCUUGUCGGCCGCUACAGCCACAGGCUUUUCCAGGGGUCAAGGGGUUUUGCCGGGGAUGAAGCCAGAAGCUAACUUCGCUUUCGCCUGGGAUUUCGCUGCACACGCAACACGGAGGUUGAGUAAUUUUAGGGGCCGAGAGUAGUGUGUGCAUGUGUCUUUUGUGUGCGAGGAUAAGGAAGAGAAGACCAAGGGUCUUUGGAUUUAUUUCCCCAGACCCCUUCGACUUAUUUUUUACAACUCAAAACAGAACCAUCUCGCAUCCCUCCGGGGAUUCUACCUAGGAAUCCCGGUGCCACUCAGACCUCAGUAAUCGAGUGUGGGCUGCUUUUUCCUUGGCAUCGAAUUUUGACUCUCGACGCCCUGCCUGGAUGUUUGGUACUCCGUCUCGGUUGAAAUUCUGAACUGGUCAGAAAAGCUUCUGUUCUCACCCGCGUUGCGGACUGUAAGUUCGGAUGCUAUUUUCCCCGGGACUCCGCGAGUUUGGUCGGGCCGGCCUCAGCCUGUUGAGAGCUUCUAGGUCAGGUGCCAGGGUUGGUUCUCCUUUUUCUUUUCUAAUAUGUACACUCCAGCUCCCUUGCUCAGGGUACGUUUCUCUGCCUCCUGUUUCCUGACCUUUCAAAAGUGUCCUUGGACUGAUCCAUCUGCAUCUGCAGCUGUUUUUGCUUUUGUGAAUUUGAACAUGUUGUUAGGUCGCCCAUCUGCUCAUAUUUCUUCUAUUGUGGUUAUCACUGGGGAGUAAGUUGUACUUGAAAUUAAAAAUACAAUUUAAUUUUGACGUUUAAAUUAAAGAUCAUGGAGAAUUAAAUUCUCAGUGACCUGAUUUACUCCUAUACUUUUGUAUUUGAAGUCUUUUCAGAACCUGGGUACUAUAAGCCCAUGCCACUCACAAUGGGAAACACCUGGUCAUAUGUAGUGUUUCUUUAGGGUAGUGAUGUCAACUACUUUGCGCCCAGCAAAUUAAAGAACCCCCUUUCUUUUCCUUUUUUGAGGUGUUGGGGAUUGAACCCAGGAGUGCUCUGCCACUGAGCAAUAUCCUUAACCCUUUUUAUUUUGUAUUCUGAGAGGGGGACUGGCUAUAUUGCUCAGCCUAGUCUUGAAUUUAGGAUUCUCCUGCCUCAGCUUCCCAAAUUGCAGGGAUUUACAGGCAUUUGCCACCUUGCCCAGCCUCUUUACUUCUCAGAAGUGACAAGAACAAAACCACUCAUUUAUUUUCUACAGAAAAUAUUCAGUAUCAGUUUCACCACCAGAAUCUUUAAAACUAGAGCCCUAACAAAAAUGUGUGCAUGAACUGUGACACUAUCCAGAAUGUAGAACUCGCUUUUAAAAAUUAGGUUCAUUUUCUUUAAACAUGAAAGGCCCUUGUAUUUGCUCAGCAAAUGUUUUGGUCCAGCACCUAUCAUGUUCUGGAACUGUUGGAUAGCGUUUAACAACCCAGACACAAAUCAUUGUCCUCAGAAAGCUUGCAUUCUUAAUUCAACAGAAUGUUUGGUUCCAUGUAUGUUAAUGAUUUCCAUUCAGAGAGUCCAAAAAACAUGUUCAGGAAAGCUUAGAUUUGUGAUAUAAAUGUUAUUUCUGAUGAGUUUGAAAUUUUGUGGUCAUACAUGUUAUGACCACAAAGGUCUAUUUUAGGACUAACAAAGGAAAUUCUUAUUUAAAUUCUUAAAAAAAAAAAACAAACCCUCAGGUUAUCCAAAUUACUUAAAAGGGGCAUGUACAUGGGGAUGGAGUUGUAGCUCAGCGGUAGAGGUCUUGCUUAGCACAUGUGAGGCCCUGAGUUGGAUCCUCAGCACCACAUAAAGAUAAAUAAUUAAAUAAAGAUAUCUUUCUACAACUACAAAAAAUAUUUUAAAAAGGGGGGAGGCAUAUACAAUAAAAAGGAGGAAUUUAUUAGAAAAGAAAGUGUUUAAAUGUUAAAUAUUUCAGGCUUGUGGAGCAAAAGGGGAAGAAUCAGCUUAAUCUAAAUGUAUUGAAGGAACACAAAUCCACCAAAAUUGGAUUCUUGACCUUUGUCUGGGUCAGUGAUCUCUUUAAGAAUCUGAUUAAAGCAAUGGACUUUCUUCUUCAGAAAUGCACCUAAAUAAUAUACUGUCAUGGUCUUUGCAGUCAUUUGUUUAACAAUAGAACAAAUUUUGAGAAAUGCAUUUGUCAUUGUGGAAACAUUGUUGAGUGUACUUAUGCAAAUUAAGAUGGCUAUAACAUCACUAGUGGAUAUAAUUUUAUGGAACCACCCUCUUACACACAUUUUAACACAAUUUCAAGCGAAUCAGAUUUAUGAAAACCUAUUCGUGGACCCUCAAAGAGUUCAGUUAAGAACACCUAUUUUCACUUGGACUCCAUUUUUAAGUCAUUUAAAAAUCUACUUUUAAAAUUCAAAUAUUGGCAACUUUGCUUUACCAUGAAAGUAUGCUCAUUUAUAUUUAAAAAAGGACUAUCCAGUAGCAAAUAAAUGAUAUUAAUAUUACACUUAUCCUGUUGCAUUAUCCCUUAUGGCAUAUAACAAGCAGUAUUCACAUUCAUUUUUUUUUUGGGGGGGUGUACUGGGGAUUCAACUCAGGGGCACUUGAAUACUGAGCUACAUCCCCAGCCCUAUUUUGUAUUUUAUUUAGAGACAGGGUCUUACUGAGUUACUUAGUGCCUUGCUUUUGCUGAGGCUGGCUUUGAACUUGUGAUCCUCCUGCCUCAGCCUCCUGAAUCAUGGGGAUUACAGGUGUGCGCCACGGCACCUGGCCUUAUUAUUAUUAUUAUUAUUAUUAUUAUUAUUGGUUAAUAUUAUUUUUAGUUGUUGAUGGGCCUUUAUACUAUUUAUUUAUAUGUGGUGCUGAGAAUCGAACCCAGUGCCUCACCCAUGUCAGGCAAGUGCACUACCGCUAAGCCACAGUUCUAGCCCUCAUUCUUUUUUGAUGUGAUCUAAAAUGUGAUAAUGAGUCUACUCUUUGGGCAGAAGAGUGAAUGAAGUAUCAGGAAUGGAUGCUAGCUAACUGUAAAGGAAUCAUAAUUUCUUUUCUUUUUUCUUGUUUCUUUUAUAUUGUGUUGGGGAUCAAAACUAGGCCUCGAACUUGCUAGACAAGGGCUCUACCACUGAGCUAUAUCCCAGCCUAGAGAACAGUACUAGUUGUCAAAAGUGCACCCAUGUCUGCAGCUGACAAGCAGUUGCUGGGACUUCAUGACAUUCUUUGUUCUUUAAAUGGGAACAUUUAAAUUAGCUAGUAGUCCCUCUACUCUGGCUGGGACAUUGGGCCUAAAGAUGAUAAUGUUAGCAUUUAAGUUUCUGUGUAUUUUCAUUAAUGCUAGCUUUGGAAUAUAAUCAGGUCUCAGUGGAAAUAUAGGUAUUACCUAAAUUUAUAAUCAAUUAAAAAGUAUUUUGGUUGUGGGUAUGGAUUGUCAGGAAGAUGUUUAGCCAAGCAAUACUUACUCAGAGUAAUAUCUUGGAGGAGGGGUAAGUAGAAUUCAAGCCAAAAUUUACAAAAUGUAGGACUAUUUACAAAGUAGUUCUUUCUUUCUUUCUUUUUUUCUUUUCUUUCUUUUGGUACUGGGGAGUGAAUCCAGGGGCACUUAACCACUGAGCCACAUCCCCAGCCAGUUUUUGUAUUUUAUUUAGAGACAGGGUCUCACUGAGUUACGUAGGACCUUGCUAAGUUGCUGAGGCUGACUUUGAACUCCUGAUCCUCCUGCCUUAGCCUGUGGAGCCACUGGGAUUACAGGCAUAUAGAAAGUAGUUCUUAGUGGAAGGAUAUUAGAGUACAUUUCACCUACUACAUUUUGUUUAUAUUUCCAAAUGAUAUAAUACCAGUUAGUGUCUGUAAAACAAUCAAAAUUUAUAAAAAAUUAGGAAGGAAAGAGUUUCAAAGGAAUAGGAUCAGACUAGAAAUGAGAGAUAACUAAUGUAGUACUGCAUUAUAUUUAGAUAAUGAAAGAUUUUUGCCUUAGUUACAAGGGUGACCACAUGUAUGUGCAAUUGAUACCACAAUCGAUCUCAAAUCUUUUUCAUUCAGAUAACAACUAAGGAAAUUUUAAUAAGAUAAAGUUUUGAAUGUUAAAUUAUGAAUAUGUAAGAAAAGUGUACCAUGGAAAUUGUUCUAAAGUUUUAGUGAAAACAGUCUUCUAGGCAUGUAUUUGGUCAACUGGCAAAGUUCCUUGAACAUGUGUUCCUUACUGAUCAGGAACAGGAGUCCUAGAAUAUGAAUUUUCAAAUGUGCACACUUGUCCUCAGGAUAUAAAAUGUAGCAUUUAGCCUGUUUAUGCUAUCAUAUUUAAUAUUAAACCACAGAAUGUAUGGGAUUUAAAAGUUGUUAAUGGUAUUAUGUUUUGUUAUGAGUAGUGAUAAGAAUAUAAUUCAGAUUACAUCUGUAGAUAGUUGUAUGUUAAUAUUCAUAAAAUUGGUAUGAGCAUGAUAUUUGGCUAUGAUUUAUGCAUCUUCAUAUAUAUAUAUAUAUAUAUAUAUAUAUAUAUGAUGCAGGAAACCUCAGAGAUCUCAAAG